GAUGAACGCUAGCGGCAGGCCUAACACAUGCAAGUCGAGGGGUAUUAGGAGCUUGCUCCUAAGAGACCGGCGCACGGGUGCGUAACGCGUAUGCAAUCUACCUUUUACAGGGGAAUAGCCCAGAGAAAUUUGGAUUAAUGCCCCAUGGUAUAUAUGAAUCGCAUGGUUUAUAUAUUAAAGUUCCAACGGUAAAAGAUGAGCAUGCGUCCCAUUAGUUAGUUGGUAAGGUAACGGCUUACCAAGACGAUGAUGGGUAGGGGUCCUGAGAGGGAGAUCCCCCACACUGGUACUGAGACACGGACCAGACUCCUACGGGAGGCAGCAGUGAGGAAUAUUGGACAAUGGGCGCAAGCCUGAUCCAGCCAUGCCGCGUGCAGGAAGAAGCAUCUAUGGUGUGUAAACUGCUUUUGUACGGGAAGAAACAUCACUACGUGUAGUGACUUGACGGUACCGUAAGAAUAAGGAUCGGCUAACUCCGUG
rnacentral:rRNA from 1 species